rnacentral:lncRNA from 1 species
ACAACUCACUGAGCAAAAUUAAUUUUUAGUAACCAAAAUCCUGUCACUAAAUUUAUGGCUGCUCGUUACAAUACUUGAUAAACAAUUCAGUAACCAAAUUUGGUCACUGAUCACAUUCCAAUAAUCUGGUACAUUUGGUACAUUGAUUGGCUCAUAAUAAUAAUAAUAAUAAUAAUAAUAAUAAUAUCAUUAAUAGCAAAGGCAUUCAACAUUACGCAAAAGUCAUUUAACACAUCAUUCAAAAUAGACAUCAACAUGUCCUAAAUCCAUCAAAAUCAAAAUUCAAAAGCAUGUCAUAGAGAUCAACAGAGAUUUCAUUCCUCCUAGGAAUGCAAAGACCUAUCAUCUAAGGCAAAAGCAAUCAUAAUGAAGCAUUCCAACUUUAGCAUGUGCAGAGACCUCCCUCCAUGACAACCAAGGACCAUUGAAAAAUUGGUGCAUGAUUGCAAUAGUUUUGUGACUGACCUCAUAAUCAAGAAACCUGCAAUUUAAAAAAUAGUCAUUAGAAAAUAAACUAAAUACUUUAAAUGCAACAAACACAUAAAUUCAAGUUAGUGAUGGUAAAUUCAAGACAUGGAAAGUGAUCAUGCUAUUAUAUUCUCUUCGUCAUUCUUAUUAAGGCGUUAUUUUCAUUUCUACCACAAUCAGAAUUGGACAUUUUGUUU